UACGGGGGGGGCAAGCGUUGUUCGGAAUUACUGGGCGUAAAGGGCUCGUAGGCGGCCAACUAAGUCAGACGUGAAAUCCCUCGGCUUAACCGGGGAACUGCGUCUGAUACUGGAUGGCUUGAGUUUGGGAGAGGGAUGCGGAAUUCCAGGUGUAGCGGUGAAAUGCGCAGAUAUCAGGAGGAACACCGGUGGCGAAGGCGGGUCUCUGGGCCGAAAUUGACGCUGAGGAGCGAAAGCCAGGGGAGCGAACGGG
rnacentral:rRNA from 1 species